AUACUAAAUGUCGUCGAAAUCGGUUCAGCAGUUAGCCGAUAAAAGUUAAAAGACAGUAUAAUAUUAGUAUGAAAGUAUGGAUUAAAAAUAUUUUCUUAAUCGACGAAGAAAACAUUUCACAUAAAACAUCCUUUUACAGAGUCGCUUAAAUGUAACAUGAGCCUACAAUACAAAUCGGUUCGUAGAAUUAGUAUGGAUAUUAAUUAAGUCGUCUAAAGCAUAUUUAACGGUGGAAUUCAUAGUCGUAGUAGGGGGCCCCUAAGGGGAUUAUUCAGCCGCUAUGUGUCGAAUUCAACCCCUACGCGUUUCAUAGACAAAAGAAACCCCUCAUUUGACAGGAGCUGGCGGCUGACUGCUGAAUUACCGAUAUUUGUCAGCCAAACCAUCCCCUGGCAUUUUUUUUGUUGUUAUUCGUGAUUUAUUUAUUAGAAAGUGGACGUUCGGAUCGUUCUAAGUGAAGUUAUAAACAGCGAGUUAUAUCAGUGCCCAAGAUAUAUAUUCGCAUUUGGGUAAACCCAGUAUAAUACUAUGGCGAUAUGGAAUGUACGAAAGAUUCUCAUAUUAGGAAUAAUAUGCCUCUGUUUGAUGAAGAAUGAACACAGAAGACCAAGAGAGGAAUACCAAUACCGCUAGUAUUAUACAUUCUAGCAGCACUUCGCUUCUAUGAAACGGGAUGUUAUCAGACUGUAGGUGCAGUCCAUCAAGCAUUCUAUGAAAUAACAGAAAUGCCAAAAGUCAAGCUGUAUUGAUGUCACGCAUAGGUAUACAUAUAAACAACCCCGGAGGACCCUAUACACAGAUUUAAAGAAACCGGCUAUCAUGGCAGGGAAUAGCAGUGAUGAGCUAUGAGAAUACUGUUUUACCAAGAAUACUGAGAAUACUUUGGUCCUUGAAAAUCUGAGUUUUCAGAUCACAGUAAUUGGAAGACCCUCAUACCUUGAAAAGUCAGCAGCAUUUAAUAUCGAAGUAGUAGGAGUGAGUGCAGUGUAUUGUAAGGUGGUCACUCACUCUGAAGUCCAUAACAAUAGAAAAUAUAUACAAAUCUUAAUUGAAUGAAUGAUGGAAAAUAAAAAUUUAUUGAUUCACAUCUUUAAUAAAGAUAAUUAUUAAAUGUUUA